GCCGGCACAAACACGGAAGUAAACAUUUGCGGCGAAAGUCUCGGACCACCACUCCAGCGCUGUGAAGGAUCCAGGACACCCGUUGAAAUCCGAACAGGCGGCGGCGAAGCUACGCUGCCGCACACAUCGUGAAGAGGAAUCCGCCGCAGGCACUGAAUGCGGUCCCGGCGGCCGAAGACAACAAAGCCACCGCGCGCUGCGGCACGCCUACGCCUGACCUGGACACCGGACCGCAAGCCUCUUUUCCUGAAUCUCCUACGGACCCUACCCGGAGCCCGGUAUAGUAGCAAGUAGUCAGGAGAGUCAGGAUCGAUAGCAAAUGGAGGAGGAAAUGCCUGUUUGAACCUGUCGUAAUUAUCAAACAGGACCUCCAUCGACUCUCUGAUGUGAAACAAAGAGUCCCGGUCAUAAGUCCAUACAGCCAGAACACAUCCAUCUGUUAUGCAGGCUGAGAUGAUCACGUACACUGAGAAACAGAGCAUUAAUAAUUUACACAGCAGGAAACGAGCCGCGGCUCUGCCAGUUACAGGCGCCAUCUUGCUCCCAAGUUUUUUCCAAUUGCUAACACACUAAAAUGACAUGCACAGCACAAUUAUUUAAACGGACACACAGAGAGCAAGUCUCCAAAGGUCUAAACACAUUUUCUGCUUUACACACAUUUUGCAUUUCAAAAUGCCACUUUUUAAAUGCACUGAACACAGUUCUCUGCAUAAGACACAACAAUCUGACAUAAAGUCACGUUUGCCAUUUCAAAACACUACCAUUCAAAAUGAUACUACAUGAGCUAAUUGGCCAAUUACAUGUGCCACCUGGCCAAACAUCUCAAUGGUUAAUUGUUAACACUUCAAUCAGGAUGUAAGCACUAUGAAAAGACCACAGGUGAGCACCUUUUAUUUUGCAACAACAAUGGAAGACGGUGCAGAGAGAGGAAGAGGAAGAGGGAGGUUGAGAAUAAGAGGGGGAGGAAGAGUGAGAGGUAGGGGUAGAGCAGGUAGAGGAGUUCAUGGCCAGAGAAGGCAAACACUUUCAAAUGAAAUCAGAGCAGAGAGAGAAACUCUCAAAGAAACAAAGAGGUCAGACGAGCAUAUGUGGAUGGAGUACUGGAAAUGGAUGCUCAUGCAAUCCCACAUGAGUUCAUCUUUAUAGAUGAGGCUGGGUUCAACCUAGCAAAGACCAGAAGAAGGGGGAGAAACGUCAUUGGCCACAGAGCCUUUACAGAUGUUCCUGGCCAACGCGGUGGGAACAUCACAAUGUGAGCUGCCACCUCCAGUAUGCAUGGUGUCCUCCACCGUCAUGCCAACCUUGGACCAUACAACACAGCCCAUAUUCUCACAUUUCUGGACAGACUUCACAACAUUCUCAUACCACCAGAGCGUAUGAAUGAUGCAGACCAUCAAAGAAACCGGUACGUUGUAGUAUGGGACAACGUGAGCUUUCAUCGUGCAGCCCCAGUCCAAAACUGGUUUGCUGACCACCCAACAUUUCUCGUGUUAUACCUCCCACCAUACUCACCAUUUCUGAACCCCAUAGAAGAGUUCUUUUGGGCAUGGCGGUAGAAGGUAUACAACCGGCAGCCCUUUGUGCGCAUGCCUCUUGUGCAGGCCAUGGAAGAGGCAUGUGAUGAGAUUGAUGUGGGUGCAAAUCAGGGAUGGUUAAGGCACUCAAGGCGCUUCUUCCCUCGAUGUCUGGCAAGGGAAGAUAUUGCCUGUGAGGUUGACGAGGCGCUGUGGCCAGACCAGGCUGUGCGGCAAGAUGCUGCCUAAUUAUUUUUCUUGCCUCUUUUUUUUUCUUUUUUUUUGUAAGAAUAUUUUUGUUCAGUCCCAUGUAAAUAUAUCUGCUGUGCAUAUGCUGCACUGACUUGUUUACUGUAGUGAAAAAUAAAAUAAAGUUUCAACAGCA